UGUACAGCAAGAUCUGUGUAAAUGGGGAC
rnacentral:piRNA from 1 species